UACGUAGGGGGCUAGCGUUGUCCGGAUUUAUUGGGCGUAAAGAGCGUGUAGGCGGCCAGGUAGGUCUGGUGUGAAAACUCGAGGCUUAACCUUGAGAUGUCAUCGGAAACCAUUUGGCUAGAGUCCGGAAGAGGAAAGUGGAAUUCCUGGUGUAGCGGUGAAAUGCGCAGAUAUCAGGAAGAACACCAAUGGCGAAAAGCAGCUUCUGGGACGGUAC
rnacentral:rRNA from 1 species